UUUUUUUUUUUAUAUUUAACUAUUAAAAUUAUAUAACAAGUAUUAUGCUUAUAAUCAUACUAAAUUUAUCAAAUUUAUUCAUUUUUCCUUCUUUUCCCUCCCAUUGCUCUAUCCAUUUUAUUUCUCUCCAAUAUUCCUACAUUCAUUAUCCCAAACUAAAGAUUCACAAAAAUUAAAAUUAAAAUAGAAAAUCAUCUGCCUUCAAACCACGAAUCAUAGGCACAAAUGAGAAGGAUAAUAGCAAAACAGAGUUCCCCAGGAAUUUACCUCUUGAAGUUCCAGUUUUGCUAAUUGGUUUGCUCCUGCCACAUUGGAAUUUGGAUUUUUAUCUUUCGAAAUCCAUUGGCCUACAUAAUUCACUGGGUCUUCCCAAAAAAGGACAGUUAUGUAAUUUAAUUAAAUGUCUUGUGAGAUUUGUGAUGAUAAUAAAG
rnacentral:misc_RNA from 1 species